ACUCCUACGGGAGGCAGCAGUGGGGAAUAUUGCACAAUGGGCGCAAGCCUGAUGCAGCCAUGCCGCGUGUGUGAAGAAGGCCUUCGGGUUGUAAAGCACUUUCAGUCGUGAGGAAGGUAGUGUAGUUAAUAGCUGCAUUAUUUGUACGUUAGCGACAGAAGAAGCACCGGCUAACUCCGUGCCAGCAGCCGCGGUAAGUACGGAGGGUGCGAGCGUUAAUCGGAAUUACGUGGGCGUAAAGCGCAUGCAGGUUGGUUUGUUAAGUCAGAUGUGAAAGCCCGGGGCUCAACCUCGGAAUAGCAUUUGAAACUGGCAGACUAGAGUACUGGUAGAGGGGGUUAGAAUUUCGAGGUGUAGCGGUG
rnacentral:rRNA from 1 species